rnacentral:snoRNA from 1 species
CCCCCCUCAGGGUCACACUUGGAGAGUUUCCAGUAUUCUACCAGUCUCGACUGUGGGAGGAAGAGUCAAGCAGAGGCAUAACCAUUCCAUUCCUAGUUGGGCCAGGGGCUAGCAAGUGGAAGGCAAUCUGCUACAAGU